rnacentral:lncRNA from 1 species
UCCAUCUCGGAGUCUGCUUUCUGGAAAAUGAACCUGCGACAUACUGGCCCCCAUAACUGAGAGGUCUAGGAGCUGUUGGGCACAGCUGGGCAGAACAUCCACAGGCCUUUCAAUCUAGUGGAGAAGAGAGACGGUAAACACUGGCAGAUUCAAUAUAGAAAUCAUGGCGAGAUGGGAGACCCUCAGGAACAGAAAGGGUGGGAGGAGAGUUUACAAGAGGGGACUUGGCCUUGGGGUCCAGGGAGGCCUUCCAAGCAGGGGACCUGUAAGGUGACUGUAGGGUGAGUAAAGAGGAGCCAGGUGGGGCGACAGCCUGCCCAGGCACCACAGGAAAGAGGUGGCUGUGUUGGAGCCACGGAAAGGCCAGGGUGGCUGGGGCCCAAUGCAGCUCAAUUUUAAUGUAAGAAAGAGUUUGGUCUUGUGGGCUCCUUCCUCUCUUUGCCUCAGCCCCUCACUCGAAUCCUCCACCUUCACGUUGCCUGCUGGAUGCCCGCGCCUUCGCUCUCUCUCUCUGCUCAGACCUGUGGCUUUCCUUACACCCACCUGGCCCUGCCUUUCCUCACAAAAUUAGCCCAUUCUGUACCCUCUGAAUCCUCUCAGACUUCUUUGAUGAAUGACACAGCAUGCCCCACUCAGAGCAUCUAGUUUCUAAGGGCCUUUGGGGCCAUGACUUGGUUGCAGGUGUGUGGGAAGAUUAUGCAGAGAGGAAAUGGCGGAGGCAGAGGCUGGAGCCAAGUGGAGAAAGGAAAACCUUUGCUAAAAUGCCACGCCAAAGGGGGUGAGGUGCGGGAGCCAGGCUUGGACCAGAACCAGGAAACAGGCCAAGCAGACGCCCAAUUAUCGGAGCGCCGGAAAGUGGCACAUGAGGCAGAGUCAGCUUGGAAGACGGCUGAUGUGUGGUUGAGGUGCUUUUUAUGGACCUGCCCUGUCUCCACUCGGGAGCUGCAGCCCCAGCCCGGCCUCGUCUGCAGGUGUGAGUAAUGCUGAGCACUGCGGGCACAGGGGAGGCGGACCGGCAGGGCACGGAGAAGGAAGCUUCUGGAGCCAGAAACCACACCUGUCUACGUUUUUCAAAGCUUUCCCACCUUUGCAAUUUAAGCAGUUUCAUUUCCACUGAGAUUAAAAGCUUCUCUCACCCCACCCUCCGCGACUCACGUUCAUCCUCCAGCCUUCAGCUUGAAUGCCACUUUCUCCAG